UACAGAGGGGGCAAGCGUUGUUCGGAAUUACUGGGCGUAAAGCGCGUGUAGGCUGCCUCUGCAAGUCGGAUGUGAAAGCCCUGGGCUCAACCUAGGAAGUGCACUCGAAACUGCGGAGCUCGAGUCUCGGAGAGGAUCGCGGAAUUCUCGGUGUAGAGGUGAAAUUCGUAGAUAUCGAGAGGAACACCGGUGGCGAAGGCGGCGAUCUGGACGAUGACUGACGCUGAGACGCGAAAGCGUGGGGAGCAAACAGG
rnacentral:rRNA from 1 species